ACGAGUCAGUUGCAGGAAAUCAUUUUCAAUGCUUACACACGAUGUAACUGCUCGUCGCAAUUCGUAGUUUACAAUUAACCAAUGUCAUGUCGGUGCACGCGUACCGAUCUUUGUUUCGUAGGACCUGUUGAUGGCGUGAUAAAAGGCGCAACAAGUUUGCAAACGAAAGAGUAAGAGAGAAAGAGAGAGAGAGAGAAAAAGAGAAAGAGAAAGAGAAAAAGAAAAAAAAAGAGAGAGACAAAAAAAGAGAGAGAGAGAGAGACAGACAGACAGACAAACAGAUAGAUAGAAAACUCAAUCUUGAAUUUUGCGGGCGUUAUAUCGCAAAACAAAAGACAGGAACUUUCAAGCUCGCAAUAAACAUACUUUUACGUAACUCCUCCUCGAUCAUCGUUCCCCCACAUUCGAUUCAUAACUUUAAAUUAAACUCUUUCGAACCGACAAACGCAACCGCCACACAACAAACAGGAACAACGGACGAACAUGUAAACGAACGUCCGGAAUUUGAAAGUGCGGAAGAAGGAGGAGCGUAGUAUAUGUAGGAAUAUCCUCGUAAGGAUAAUUAGUACAAGUCGAGGAUAAUUAAUACAACGAGAUGAUAUGAUUCAACACUACAAACAAGACGAUGAAGGUCGUGCUAGCAGAAGCGAGACGACCGUAACCAGAAAUUCUUCGAAGCGUGAACGAUGGAGACAUGUCUUUCUUGCUUGCCUUAACUUUUCUACGCAUAAUUAUAGUUAUUCGCACGAUGAGAUUUAAAGUGAAUACAUUUUAUACGAGAUGGGCCGAAAAUUCUUCGAUUUGUAUUUUUAUAAUUUGAAAGGAAAAAAAAAAAAAAAAAAAAAAAAAGGAAAAAUUAGCCUAAAGUCUCGCAAAAAUGUAAUCGUCUUUUAAAAUUCACCUAUGAACUUUUGAUUCAACCUGUAUUAUAAAAGGAAGUAAAGAAGUCAACUCUUCGCAUCGAAGGUCCUAUACGCAAAAGAAACUUCAUUUUUUAUACAAACGUCCCGAUCAAUAUUCAAACGUUCUCUCCGACGGUGUGUAUGAUCAAACGAGAGAAGACUUUGAGAAAAGAAAUCGAAGGUCUUACAUGAGCAAACUUAUUUGCAUGCAUACCUCUUGGAAAUGAAUAAUAAUUUUUGCAAAUGAAUUCAAAUUUUCCCGCCUAAUUUGUAGAAUCGUUCGAUUUAUCGAUCUUCAAUAAUUUUUC